rnacentral:rRNA from 1 species
UACGUAGGGGGCUAGCGUUGUCCGGAAUCAUUGGGCGUAAAGAGCGUGUAGGCGGCCCGGUAAGUCCGCUGUGAAAGUCGGGGGCUCAACCCUCGAAUGCCGGUGGAUACUGUCGGGCUAGAGUGCGGAAGAGGCGAGUGGAAUUCCUGGUGUAGUGGUGAAAUGCGUAGAGAUCAGCAGGAACACCAAGGACGAAGGUACCUACCUGGGCAGUAUCUGACACUCAAGUGCGACAGCGUGGGGAGCGAACCGG